rnacentral:rRNA from 1 species
GACGAACGCUGGCGGCGUGCUUAACACAUGCAAGUCGAACGGACAGGCCCUGCUUUUGUGGGGUGCUCGUGUGGCGAACGGGUGAGUAACACGUGAGUAACCUGCCCUUGACUUUGGGAUAACUUCAGGAAACUGGGGCUAAUACCGGAUAGGAGCUCCUGCUGCAUGGUGGGGGUUGGAAAGUUCCGGCGGUUGGGGCUGGACUCGCGGCUUAUCAGCUUGUUGGGGGGGUAGGGGCUUACCAAGGGUUCGACGGAUAGCCGGCCUGAGAGGGUGGACGGCGACAUGGGGACUGAGGUACGGCCCAGACUCCAACGGGAGGCAGCAGUGGGGAAUAUUGCACAGUGGGCGGAAGCCUGAUGCAGCAACGCCGCGUGCGGGAUGACGGCCUUCGGGUUGUAAACCGCUUUCGCCUGUGACGAAGCGUGAGUGACGGUAAUGAGUAAAGAAGCACCGGCUAACUACGUG